rnacentral:rRNA from 1 species
AUUGAACGCUGGCGGCAGGCCUAACACAUGCAAGUCGAGCGGAUGACGGGAGCUUGCUCCUUGAUUCAGCGGCGGACGGGUGAGUAAUGCCUAGGAAUCUGCCUGGUAGUGGGGGACAACGUUUCGAAAGGAACGCUAAUACCGCAUACGUCCUACGGGAGAAAGCAGGGGACCUUCGGGCCUUGCGCUAUCAGAUGAGCCUAGGUCGGAUUAGCUUGUUGGUGAGGUAAUGGCUCACCAAGGCGACGAUCCGUAACUGGUCUGAGAGGAUGAUCAGUCACACUGGAACUGAGACACGGUCCAGACUCCUACGGGAGGCAGCAGUGGGGAAUAUUGGACAAUGGGCGAAAGCCUGAUCCAGCCAUGCCGCGUGUGUGAAGAAGGUCUUCGGAUUGUAAAGCACUUUAAGUUGGGAGGAAGGGUUGUAGAUUAAUACUCCGCAAUUUUGACGUUACCGACAGAAUAAGCACCGGCUAACUCUGUG